ACUCCUACGGGAGGCAGCAGUGAGGAAUAUUGGUCAAUGGAGGGAACUCUGAACCAGCCAUCCCGCGUGUAGGAAGACGGCCUUAUGGGUUGUAAACUACUUUUAUACAGGAAGAAACGUACCCUCGUGAGGGUGCCUGACGGUACUGUAGGAAUAAGCACCGGCUAACUCCGUGCCAGCAGCCGCGGUAAUACGGAGGGUGCGAGCGUUAAUCGGAAUUACUGGGCGUAAAGCGCAUGCAGGUGGUUUGUUAAGUCAGAUGUGAAAGCCCGGGGCUCAACCUCGGAACUGCAUUUGAAACUGGCAGACUAGAGUACUGUAGAGGGGGUAGAAUUUCAGGUGUAGCGGUGAAAUGCGUAGAGAUCUGAAGGAAUACCGGUGGCGAAGGCGGCCCCCUGGACAGAUACUGACACUCAGAUGCGAAAGCGUGGGGAGCAAACAGGAUUAGAUACCCUGGUAGGAUAGCG
rnacentral:rRNA from 1 species